rnacentral:rRNA from 1 species
UACAGAGGUCUCAAGCGUUGUUCGGAUUCAUUGGGCGUAAAGGGUGCGUAGGUGGUGGCGUAAGUCUGGUGUGAAAUCUCGGGGCUCAACCCCGAAAUUGCACCGGAUACUGCGUGACUAGAGGACUGUAGAGGAGAGUGGAAUUCACGGUGUAGCAGUGAAAUGCGUAGAUAUCGUGAGGAAGACCAGUUGCGAAGGCGACUCUCUGGGCAGUUCCUGACACUGAGGCACGAAGGCCAGGGGAGCAAACGGG